GGGUUGUGAGGUUAAGCGACUAAGCGUACACGGUGGAUGCCCUGGCAGUCAGAGGCGAUGAAGGACGUGCUAAUCUGCGAUAAGCGUCGGUAAGGUGAUAUGAACCGUUAUAACCGGCGAUUUCCGAAUGGGGAAACCCAGUGUGAUUCGUCACACUAUCAUUAACUGAAUCCAUAGGUUAAUGAGGCGAACCGGGGGAACUGAAACAUCUAAGUACCCCGAGGAAAAGAAAUCAACCGAGAUUCCCCCAGUAGCGGCGAGCGAACGGGGAGCAGCCCAGAGCCUGAAUCAGUGUGUGUGUUAGUGGAAGCGUCUGGAAAGGCGCGCGAUACAGGGUGACAGCCCCGUACACAAAAAUGCACAURCUGUGAGCUCGAUGAGUAGGGCGGGACACGUGGUAUCCUGUCUGAAUAUGGGGGGACCAUCCUCCAAGGCUAAAUACUCCUGACUGACCGAUAGUGAACCAGUACCGUGAGGGAAAGGCGAAAAGAACCCCGGCGAGGGGAGUGAAAAAGAACCUGAAACCGUGUACGUACAAGCAGUGGGAGCCUCUUUAUGGGGUGACUGCGUACCUUUUGUAUAAUGGGUCAGCGACUUAUAUUCUGUAGCAAGGUUAACCRAAUAGGGGAGCCGAAGGGAAACCGAGUCUUAACUGGGCGUUAAGUUGCAGGGUAUAGACCCGAAACCCGGUGAUCUAGCCAUGGGCAGGUUGAAGGUUGGGUAACACUAACUGGAGGACCGAACCGACUAAUGUUGAAAAAUUAGCGGAUGACUUGUGGCUGGGGGUGAAAGGCCAAUCAAACCGGGAGAUAGCUGGUUCUCCCCGAAAGCUAUUUAGGUAGCGCCUCGUGAAUUCAUCUCCGGGGGUAGAGCACUGUUUCGGCAAGGGGGUCAUCCCGACUUACCAACCCGAUGCAAACUGCGAAUACCGGAGAAUGUUAUCACGGGAGACACACGGCGGGUGCUAACGUCCGUCGUGAAGAGGGAAACAACCCAGACCGCCAGCUAAGGUCCCAAAGUCAUGGUUAAGUGGGAAACGAUGUGGGAAGGCCCAGACAGCCAGGAUGUUGGCUUAGAAGCAGCCAUCAUUUAAAGAAAGCGUAAUAGCUCACUGGUCGAGUCGGCCUGCGCGGAAGAUGUAACGGGGCUAAACCAUGCACCGAAGCUGCGGCAGCGACRCUUAUGCGUUGUUGGGUAGGGGAGCGUUCUGUAAGCCUGYGAAGGUGURCUGUGAGGYAUGCUGGAGGUAUCAGAAGUGCGAAUGCUGACAUAAGUAACGAUAAAGCGGGUGAAAAGCCCGCUCGCCGGAAGACCAAGGGUUCCUGUCCAACGUUAAUCGGGGCAGGGUGAGUCGACCCCUAAGGCGAGGCCGAAAGGCGUAGUCGAUGGGAAACAGGUUAAUAUUCCUGUACUUGGUGUUACUGCGAAGGGGGGACGGAGAAGGCUAUGUUGGCCGGGCGACGGUUGUCCCGGUUUAAGCGUGUAGGCUGGUUUUCCAGGCAAAUCCGGAAAAUCAAGGCUGAGGCGUGAUGACGAGGCACUACGGUGCUGAAGCRACAAAUGCCCUGCUUCCAGGAAAAGCCUCUAAGCAUCAGGUAACAUCAAAUCGUACCCCAAACCGACACAGGUGGUCAGGUAGAGAAUACCAAGGCGCUUGAGAGAACUCGGGUGAAGGAACUAGGCAAAAUGGUGCCGUAACUUCGGGAGAAGGCACGCUGAUAUGUAGGUGAAGCGACUUGCUCGUGGAGCUGAAAUCAGUCGAAGAUACCAGCUGGCUGCAACUGUUUAUUAAAAACACAGCACUGUGCAAACACGAAAGUGGACGUAUACGGUGUGACGCCUGCCCGGUGCCGGAAGGUUAAUUGAUGGGGUUAGCGGCAACGCGAAGCUCUUGAUCGAAGCCCCGGUAAACGGCGGCCGUAACUAUAACGGUCCUAAGGUAGCGAAAUUCCUUGUCGGGUAAGUUCCGACCUGCACGAAUGGCGUAAUGAUGGCCAGGCUGUCUCCACCCGAGACUCAGUGAAAUUGAACUCGCUGUGAAGAUGCAGUGUACCCGCGGCAAGACGGAAAGACCCCGUGAACCUUUACUAUAGCUUGACACUGAACAUUGAGCCUUGAUGUGUAGGAUAGGUGGGAGGCUUUGAAGUGUGGACGCCAGUCUGCAUGGAGCCGACCUUGAAAUACCACCCUUUAAUGUUUGAUGUUCUAACGUUGGCCCCUUAUCGGGGUUGCGGACAGUGUCUGGUGGGUAGUUUGACUGGGGCGGUCUCCUCCUAAAGAGUAACGGAGGAGCACGAAGGUUGGCUAAUCCUGGUCGGACAUCAGGAGGUUAGUGCAAUGGCAUAAGCCAGCUUGACUGCGAGCGUGACGGCGCGAGCAGGUGCGAAAGCAGGUCAUAGUGAUCCGGUGGUUCUGAAUGGAAGGGCCAUCGCUCAACGGAUAAAAGGUACUCCGGGGAUAACAGGCUGAUACCGCCCAAGAGUUCAUAUCGACGGCGGUGUUUGGCACCUCGAUGUCGGCUCAUCACAUCCUGGGGCUGAAGUAGGUCCCAAGGGUAUGGCUGUUCGCCAUUUAAAGUGGUACGCGAGCUGGGUUUAGAACGUCGUGAGACAGUUCGGUCCCUAUCUGCCGUGGGCGCUGGAGAACUGAGGGGGGCUGCUCCUAGUACGAGAGGACCGGAGUGGACGCAUCACUGGUGUUCGGGUUGUCAUGCCAAUGGCACUGCCCGGUAGCUAAAUGCGGAAGAGAUAAGUGCUGAAAGCAUCUAAGCACGAAACUUGCCCCGAGAUGAGUUCUCCCUGACCCUUUAAGGGUCCUGAAGGAACGUUGAAGACGACGACGUUGAUAGGCCGGGUGUGUAAGCGCAGCGAUGCGUUGAGCUAACCGGUACUAAUGAACCGUGAGGCUUAACCUUACAACGCCGAAGRUGUU
rnacentral:rRNA from 1 species